rnacentral:rRNA from 1 species
CCAAGACAAGAUCACCCAGUGGGCAACCACUCUGAAGUCAGGUCGAAGACCACGACCUCGAUAGGCCGCGGGCGCAAGCGCAGCGAUGCGCUGAACCGAGCGGUACUAAUCAGACGUGCGGCUUAGCUUU